CCGGGCUCGUGCUGGGUCGUCGCGGGCGCGAAGGCCACCGGGCCUCGGGUUACGUGGUUGCCGGGGCUGGUCUCUGCCCGGCAUCUCCGGGCUCCCUCCACCCCCCACGAAAAAGAUCACCUGGACCUGCGUAGGUGGGGAGGAGCCCUGUGCUUUGUUUCUCCUCUGCCCGCUCUCAUAGCCCGAGAAACAGAACCACAUGCAGGAGGGUGGUUUCUUUUUAGUACAUCCUAGGCAUCUGGAGAGAGCAAGCCCGUGCCACCAUUCUACAGGACCCAAGAGGAGUGUGAGAAAGGUUCAAGUAAUCCGGGGGCAGUCUGGACAGAGCCCUUCGAGGCUCAAAGUAAAGUGUGAUGGAUGGAGAAA